GAGUAACGCGUGGGAAUAUGCCCUUUGGUACGGAACAGUCCCGGGAAACUGGGUUUAAUACCGUAUGUGGUCCUUCGUAGUGGAUACGGGGGACGAAAGAUUUAUCGCCAAAGGAUUAGCCCGCGUUGGAUUAGGUAGUUGGUGGGGUAAUGGCCUACCAAGCCGACGAUCCAUAGCUGGUUUGAGAGGAUGAUCAGCCACACUGGGACUGAGACACGGCCCAGACUCCUACGGGAGGCAGCAGUGGGGAAUCUUAGACAAUGGGGGCAACCCUGAUCUAGCCAUGCCGCGUGAGUGAUGAAGGCCUUAGGGUUGUAAAGCUCUUUCAGCUGGGAAGAUAAUGACGGUACCAGCAGAAGAAGCCCCGGCUAACUCCGUGCCAGCAGCCGCGGUAAUACGGAGGGGGCUAGCGUUGUUCGGAAUUACUGGGCGUAAAGCGCAUGUAGGCGGACCAGAAAGUUGGGGGUGAAAUCCCGGGGCUCAACCCCGGAACGGCCUUCAAAACUAUUGGUCUGGAGUUCGAGAGAGGUGAGUGGAAUUCCGAGUGUAGAGGUGAAAUUCGUAGAUAUUCGGAGGAACACCAGUGGCGAAGGCGGCUCACUGGCUCGAUACUGACGCUGAGAUGCGAAAGCGUGGGGAGCAAACAGGAUUAGAUACCC
rnacentral:rRNA from 1 species